rnacentral:rRNA from 2 species
AGACCCGAAACCCGGUGAUCUAGCCAUGGGCAGGUUGAAGGUUGGGUAACACUAACUGGAGGACCGAACCGACUAAUGUUGAAAAAUUAGCGGAUGACCUGUGGCUGGGGGUGAAAGGCCAAUCAAACCGGGAGAUAGCUGGUUCUCCCCGAAAGCUAUUUAGGUAGCGCCUCGUGAAUUCAUCUCCGGGGGUAGAGCACUGUUUCGGCUAGGGGGCCAUCCCGGCUUACCAACCCGAUGCAAACUGCGAAUACCGGAGAAUGUUAUCACGGGAGACACACGGCGGGUGCUAACGUCCGUCGUGAAGAGGGAAACAACCCAGACCGCCAGCUAAGGUCCCAAAGUCAUGGUUAAGUGGGAAACGAUGUGGGAAGGCCCAGACAGCCAGGAUGUUGGCUUAGAAGCAGCCAUCAUUUAAAGAAAGCGUAAUAGCUCACUGGUCGAGUCGGCCUGCGCGGAAGAUGUAACGGGGCUAAACCAUGCACCGAAGCUGCGGCAGCGACGCUUAUGCGUUGUUGGGUAGGGGAGCGUUCUGUAAGCCUGUGAAGGUGGCCUGUGAGGGUUGCUGGAGGUAUCAGAAGUGCGAAUGCUGACAUAAGUAACGAUAAAGCGGGUGAAAAGCCCGCUCGCCGGAAGACCAAGGGUUCCUGUCCAACGUUAAUCGGGGCAGGGUGAGUCGACCCCUAAGGCGAGGCCGAAAGGCGUAGUCGAUGGGAAACGGGUUAAUAUUCCCGUACUUGGUGUUACUGCGAAGGGGGGACGGAGAAGG